rnacentral:rRNA from 1 species
UACAGAGGGUGCAAGCGUUAAUCGGAAUUACUGGGCGUAAAGCGUGCGUAGACGGUUACAUAAGUCAGAUGUGAAAGCCCCGGGCUCAACCUGGGAAUUGCAUUUGAGACUGCGUAGCUAGGGUGCGGAAGAGGGAAGCGGAAUUUCCGGUGUAGCGGUGAAAUGCGUAGAUAUCGGAAGGAACACCAGUGGCGAAGGCGGCUCACUGGACUGGUACUGACGCUGAUGCGCGAAAGCGUGGGGAGCAAACAGG